AUAACCCUACGGGAGGCAGCAGUGGGGAAUAUUGGACAAUGGGGGAAACCCUGAUCCAGCGACGCCGCGUGAGUGAAGAAGUAUUUCGGUAUGUAAAGCUCUACCAGCAGGGAAGAAAGAAAUGACGGUACCUGACUAAGAAGCCCCGGCUAACUACGUGCCAGCAGCCGCGGUAAUACGUAGGGGGCAAGCGUUAUCCGAAUCUACUGGGUGUAAAGGGAGCGUAGACGGCGAUGCAAGUCUGAAGUGAAAGGAGGGGGCCCAA
rnacentral:rRNA from 1 species